UACGUAGGGUGCAAGCGUUGUCCGGAAUCAUUGGGCGUAAAGCGCGUGUAGGCGGUCCGGUAAGUCCGCUGUGAAAGUCCAGGGCUCAACCCCGAGACGUCGGUGGAAACCACCUGGCUAGAGUCCGGAAGAGGCGAGUGGAAUUCCUGGUGUAGCGGUGAAAUGCGUAGAUAUCGAGAGGAACACCGGUGGCGAAGGCGGGUCUCUGGGCAACUACUGACGCUGAGGAGCGAAAGCGUGGGGAGCGAACAGG
rnacentral:rRNA from 1 species